rnacentral:rRNA from 1 species
UACGUAGGCAGCGAGCGUUGUUCGGAGUUACUGGGCGUAAAGAGUGCGUAGGCGGUUUUCUAAGUUUGGUGUGAAAUCUCCCGGCUUAACUGGGAGGGUGCGCCGAAGACUGGAAGGCUAGAGUAUGGGAGAGGUAAGCGGAAUUCCUGGUGUAGCGGUGAAAUGCGUAGAUAUCAGGAGGAACACCGGUGGCGAAGGCGGGUCUCUGGGCCGAUACUGACGCUGAGGAGCGAAAGCGUGGGGAGCGAACAGG